GCUCCUCGUCCUCCGAUGAUGAGUUCGAAGACGACCUGCUCGACCUGAACCCCAGCUCAAACUUUGAGAGCAUGUCCCUGGGCAGUUUCAGCUCGUCGUCGGCGCUGGACCGGGACCUGGAUUUUAACUUCGAGCCCGGCUCCGGCUCGCACUUCGAGUUCCCGGACUACUGCACGCCCGAGCCGGAGGAGGAGAUGUUGAGUGACCGGCGCUAGGAAAUGACCUGAGAACCUAGUUGGAAGCCACACCAGCGAGGGCGAGGGGCGGGGGAGAGAAGGACACGAACUGGCCUGGAAGGGGCUCCUAAUAAAACUGAAAUGGAUUUGCACGUUCGGGAGAAGGUGGCGGCGACUCCGGGGCCUCCACCUCCUGCAGAUAUGAAAUCAGUGAGGUGCGACUUCACAGGCCCGCAGGCGUGGAGGAGAGGAGACUUUGAUGUGGUACCGGGGCAGUGGAGGGCGAGUGGUUUCGGGGAAAAAAAAAAAGAUUUUUUUCUUCUCUUAAUCGGAAUCGUGAUGGUGUUGGAUUAUUUCACUGGUGGGGUUAAUAUAGCAUGUUAUCCUGUCUAUCUUUUAAAGAUUUCUGUAUAAGACUGUUGAGCAGUUUUUAAAAUAGUGUAGGAUAAUAUAAAAAGCAGAUAGAUGGCGCUAUGUUUGAUUCCUACAAACAAAAUUAUCACCAGCUUUUUUUCAUUCUUAACUCUUUAAGGGAUUCAAACGCAACUCAAAUCUGUGCUGGACUUUAAAAAACAAUUCAGGACCAAAUUUUUUCUCAGUGUGUAUGUGUUUAUUCCUUAUAGGUGUAAAUGAGAAGACGUGUUUUUUUCCCCUCACCGAUGCUCCAUCCUCGUAUUUUUUUUCCUUGUAAAUGUAAUCAGAUGCCAUUUUAUAUGUGGACGUAUUUAUACUGGCCAAACAUUUUUUUUCUUACUUUGUCCCUGUUUUUCUUUCCUUUCUUUUGCUUUUUUUUUUUCUUUUUUUCUGCUUCCUUCCUUUCUUCCUUCCUUCUGUUAUCUUCUUUAUCUUUCUUUUCUUUUCUUUUUUUUUUUUGGUAGUUGUUGUUACCCACGCCAUUUUACGUCUCCUUCACUGAAGGGCUAGAGUUUUAACUUUUAAUUUUUUAUAUUUAAAUGUAGACUUUUGACACUUUUAAAAACAAAAAAAGACAAGAGAGAUGAAAACGUUUGAUUAUUUUCUCAGUGUAUUUUUGUAAAAAAUAUAUAAAGGGGGUGUUAAUCGGUGUAAAUCGCUGUUUGGAUUUCCUGAUUUUUAUAAUAGGGCGGCUGGUUAAUAUCUCACAGUUUAAAAAAUCAGCCCCUAAUUUCUCCAUGUUUACACUUCAAUCUGCAGGCUUCUUAAAGUGACAGUAUCCCUUAAUCUGCCACCAGUGUCCACCCUUCGACCCCAGUCUUAUAAACAGGGGAGGGAAUUAGCCAAACACUGUAUGCUUUUAAGACAAACAAAUUUUUUAAACAAAGUACUAUCCUGUCCAGAGGCUUUAAAACUGGUGCAUUUACAGCAAAAAGGGAUCCUGUAGCUUUAAUUUGUAAACCACAUCUUUUUUGCACUUUUUUUAUAAGCAAAAACGUGCCGUUUAAACCACUGGAUCUAUCUAAAUGCCGAUUUGAGUUCGCGACACUAUGUACUGCGUUUUUCAUUCUUGUAUUUGACUAUUUAAUCCUUUCUACUUGUCGCUAAAUAUAAUUGUUUUAGUCUUAUGGCAUGACGAUAGCAUAUGUGUUCAGGUUUAUAGCUGUUGUGUUUAAAGAUUGAAAAAAGUGGAAAACAUCUUUGUACAUUUAAGUCUGUAUUAUAAUAAGCAAAAAGAUUGUGUGUAUGUAUGUUUAAUAUAACAUGACAGGCACUAGGACGUCUGCCUUUUAAGGCAGUUCCGUUAAGGGUUUUUGUUUUUAAACUUUUUUUUGCCAUCCAUCCUGUGCAAUAUGCCGUGUAGAAUAUUUGUCUUAAAAUUGAAGGCCACAAAAACAAUGUUUGGGGGAGGAAAAAAAAAAAAUCAUGCCAGCUAAUCAUGUCAAGUUCACUGCCUGUCAGAUUGUUGAUAUAUACCUUCUGUAAAUAACUUUUUUUGAGAAGGAAAUAAAAUCAGCUGGAACUGAACCCUAAAUCUUGACUUUUGUCAUUAUUAUGCCCGAAGCUUGACAUUGGGAGUGCCCUACCUGAGUAGAAACUACACUAUCUACCUUAGCUUUGAAACGAGUCAGUUCUUAGAGGAGCCUGUUACUUGCCAUCUUCUUGGGGAGUGCUAAGUUCCUCUCCGCCAGAUUUGGCAGGCCCUGACCCUGAAAUGAUGGCGUCAGCUGAAUGUGUGUCAACUCUACACGCUUUCUAGGAAUUUUCUGAGUUUACCAUAUUUAAAUAAAUGCCCUUUGUCUUCAAUUUUUGAAAAGGGGGAGGGGCAACGUGCACAGAAUUC
rnacentral:lncRNA from 1 species